UAAUAAAAUUGUUAGAUUUUAUUAAAAUAGUAGAUUUUAAAAGUAAUGCGGAGAUUGACAAUAGAAAAAAAAAAGUUUAGUAAUAUCUAUAAAAAAAAUUACAAGAUAAAAAAAAUAAAUCUAAAAUAUAGUGGAGAGAUAAAUAAAAUAUAAUAAUAUAAUGAUUUAAAAAAUGUAUAAUGUAGCAAAUGAAAAGUAUCACUAAAGUCCAGUGCAGGUGCAAUUGAGCCAUUUAUAUAUAUUUUUUCCAUUUUGAAGUAAUAAGAUGUUUAAUUACUUUUAUUAAGUUUUGGAGAUAUGUUUACUUUAAUUCCAUCCCUUAUUUUUUUCCAUAUUGAGUAUAAAUAUUAAAAGGAUAUCCUAACUGUACACUCUCUUCGUAAUCGUAGGUAUAAAAUCUUACAUCUCCUCUAUCCAAGGAUUAACAAAACUUUAGCCACCGUUUGGUUGGGGGUUAAGGGGUGGAAUAACCCCUUAACCCCCAAUUUAUAUCCAAACACCACUUUUUUGGGGUGGGGUUAGUAAACCCCACCCCAAACCGGGUUAGUGGGGUUUACUAACCCUAGUCCCCCUCCCAACUUUAACCCCGCACGUAUCCCGAGCCCUCACCUUUUUCUUCUUUAUCAAUCAUUAACCCCACUCCCCCUCCCAACUUUAACCCCGCACGCAUCCCGAGCUCUCAUCUUUUUCUUCUUUAUCAAUCAUUAUCUUUUUAUCCCACCUACUCCAACCAAACACUUUUUUUCACUAUCCUAGACUAACUCCAACCUCCAACCAAACACAAAAAAAUUUUAACACCAUUUUAACCCUGAACUUAACCCUAUUUCUGGAAUAGCUACUUUUUCUUAAUCCCGAACCAAACGGGGGCUAAAUUUUUCCUUUUGAUAAGACUAUAA
rnacentral:lncRNA from 1 species